rnacentral:rRNA from 1 species
CCCAAAGUGAUGCGAGUCAGACUUCCCAGAAAAGCCCGAACCACGUUAAUUUCUAAUUACCUGUACCCGAAACCGACACAGGUAGGAAGGUAGAGAAUACUAAGGGGCGCGAGAUAACUCUCUCUAAGGAACUCGGCAAAAUUACCCCGUAACUUUGGGAGAAGGGGUGCCACCGCAAGGUGGUCGCAGUGAAGAGGCCCAGGCGACUGUUUACCAAAAACACAGGUCUCCGCCAAGUCGCAAGACGCAGUAUGGGGGCUGACGCCUGCCCAGUGCCGGAAGGUUAAGGAAGUUGGUUAGUUUCGACGAAGCUAGCGACCGAAGCCCCGGUGAACGGCGGCCGUAACUAUAACGGUCCUAAGGUAGCGAAAUUCCUUGUCGGGUAAGUUCCGACCCGCACGAAAGGCGUAACGAUCUGGGCACUGUCUCGGAGAGAGGCUCGGCGAAAUAGGAUUGUCUGUGAAGAUACGGACUACCUGCACCUGGACAGAAAGACCCUAUGAAGCUUUACUGUAGCUUGGAAUUGGGUUCGGGCUUCCCUUGCGCAGCAUAGGUGGGAGGCGUUGAAGUUUUCCUCGUGGGGAAAAUGGAGCCAACGGUGAGAUACCACUCUAGGGAGGCUAGAAUUCUAACUUUAACCCGUUAGCCGGGGAAAGGACCGUGCCAGGUGGGCAGUUUGACUGGGGCGGUCGCCUCCUAAAAGGUAACGGAGGCGCCCAAAGGUUCCCUCAGGUAGAAUGGAAACCUACCAAAGAGUGUAAAGGCAUAAGGGAGCUUGACUGCAAGACCAACGCGUCGAGCAGAUACGAAAGUAGGGCUUAGUGAUCCCACGGUACCGAGUGGAAGGGCCGUGGCUUACCGGAUAAAAGCUACCCCGGGGAUAACAGGCUAGUGAAGUCCAAGAGUUCACAUCGACGACUUCGCUCGGCACCUCGAUGUCGGCUCAUCGCAUCCUGGGGCUGUAUAAGGUCCCAAGGGUUGGGCUGUUCGCCCAUUAAAGCGGUACGCGAGCUGGGUUCAGACCGUCGUGAGACAGGUCGGUCUCUAUCCGCUGUGGGCGUAAGGGAUUUGAGAGGAGCUGCUCCUAGUACGAGAGGACCGGAGUGGACAGACCUCUGGUGUGCCAGUUGUCGUGCCAACGGCAUCGCUGGGUAGCUACGUCUGGCAAAGAUAACCGCUGAAAGCAUCUAAGUGGGAAACUUGCCUCAAGAUGAGAUCCCUAUAAUCCCAUUAAGGGAGUAAGACCGCAGAUAGACUAUCUGCUACAUAGGCGAUAUGUGUAAGUGCAGUAAUGUAUUGAGCUAAAUCGUACUAAUGGUCGAGUGCUGAUCCCG